CUAGCUCCUCCUGUGGCUCUUCCAUGUAAGCGCAUGGAAGGCCAGGGAGAAUUGCCUGGUAUGGUUGUUUUGGGGGUCUUUGCUGCUGCUCUCCCUGCCUUUGGCUUUCCAUGUGUGCACAUGGAAGGGCAAGGAGGAGUGCUCUCCUUGCCUCAUGCUACCACGUAGGCUCGUGGAUCCACGCAUGCGCGUGGAUGGGCAGGGAGGUCCCAGAGCAGAGCCAUACCGCCAAAUAUAAUGUAUAUAUUACUGCAAUGUAAUAAGUGUCUUUGACUAAAGUGGUCCUGACUGAACUACGUUUGUGUUGGAGACGUGUGGCA